rnacentral:rRNA from 1 species
AUUGAACGCUGGCGGCAUGCUUUACACAUGCAAGUCGAACGGUAGAGGGGGCAACCCCUUGAGAGUGGCGAACGGGUGAGUAAUGCAUCGGAACGUGCCCAGUCGUGGGGGAUAACUACUCGAAAGAGUGGCUAAUACCGCAUACGACCUGAGGGUGAAAGCGGGGGACCGAAAGGCCUCGCGCGAUUGGAGCGGCCGAUGUCAGAUUAGGUAGUUGGUGGGGUAAAGGCCUACCAAGCCUGCGAUCUGUAGCUGGUCUGAGAGGACGGCCAGCCACACUGGGACUGAGACACGGCCCAGACUCCUACGGGAGGCAGCAGUGGGGAAUUUUGGACAAUGGGCGCAAGCCUGAUCCAGCCAUGCCGCGUGCGGGAAGAAGGCCUUCGGGUUGUAAACCGCUUUUGUCAGGGAAGAAAUCCUUUGGGUUAAUACCUCGGAGGGAUGACGGUACCUGAAGAAUAAGCACCGGCUAACUACGUG